GAUGAAGAACGCAGCGAAAUGCGAUACGUAAUGUGAAUUGCAGAAUUCAGUGAAUCAUCGAAUCUUUGAACGCAUAUUGCGCUCUCUGGUAUUCCGGAGAGCAUGCUUGUUUGAGUAUCAGUAAACACCUCAACUUCCAUAUCUUUUUUUGAAAUGGGAGUUGGACUUGAGUGAUCCCAACGCUUUUCCUCACCGAAAAGUGGCGGGUUACUUGAAAUGCAGGUGCAGCUGGACUUUUCUCUGAGCUAUAAGCAUAUCUAUUUAGUCUGCCUAAAAAACAGAUUAUUACCUUUGCUGCAGCUAACAUAAAGGAGAUUAGUUCUUGUGCUGACUGAUGCAGGAUUCACAAAGACAGCUUCGGCCGACUUUGUAAACUCGAUCUCAAAUCAAGUAAGACUACCUGCUGAACUUAAGCAUAUCAAUAAGCGGAGGA
rnacentral:misc_RNA from 1 species